AUUGAACGCUGGCGGCAUGCUUUACACAUGCAAGUCGAACGGCAGCACGGGGGUAACCCUGGUGGCGAGUGGCGAACGGGUGAGUAAUGCAUCGGAACAUAUCUUAAAGUGGGGAAUAACGCAUCGAAAGGUGUGCUAAUACUCCAUAUACUCUAAGGAGGAAAGCGGGGGAUCGAAAGACCUCGUGCUUUAAGGGUGGCCGAUGUCUGAUUAGCUAGUUGGUGGGGUAAAGGCUUACCAAGGCGACGAUCAGUAGCUGGUCUGAGAGGACGAUCAGCCACACUGGGACUGAGACACGGCCCAGACUCCUACGGGAGGCAGCAGUGGGGAAUUUUGGACAAUGGGCGAAAGCCUGAUCCAGCCAUGCCGCGUGAGUGAAGAAGGCCUCGG
rnacentral:rRNA from 1 species